UGACAUCAUCAAUGUUAGACCAGCUUCAGCCUGCCCUGUGGAAGAUAGCUGUCCUUUAGUGUGCUCUCAUCCUUAGCAAUCUGUUACAUUUCUUGUCUUUUGGGAGUUAUCGUUGUUUUAACUACUUCCAGUCAUCCAUUAAACGAAGUGAACUGGGUAUCUGCUUCAGUGUGGUGAUUGGCAGAGGAGUUAUCUGUCUGUCAACAUAUGCAAGGUGCAUUGGGGUGGCAGAACAAUCUUGUUUAAAAUCUUUUCAUGUAAUAUUUUUAUCUUCUGUACCCUUUUAGCCCAUCUGUUAAAAUUUUUUAAACAAUAGUUUUAGAAAACAGUGUCAGAUUUAUCAGUGUAUAAUUGUUGUAAUUGUCUGAGGAUGGAACAGAAUUUGAUGAAUUUGAAAAGUGUUUUCAUUUUUUUCCUCUUUAUUAUUAUUAUUAUUAUUAAUGUAUUUAUUUUCAAUUUUUAUGUAGGGGGACCCUGUUAAACCCUUUGCUACCACUUAAGCAUGUAGGCUUAGCCUAAUCUCUAUGGUUCAUGACAGCUGCACAGAGUACUGGUGUGAUGUGCACUGACUGGUGAGUGAAUUCCAUGUUUAGUAUGUCAAGUCGUUUUAACAUUUAAUCUAUAAAAUGCACCAGUAUCUAAUUUAACCUUACUAGUACUUUUUUAGAUACUAGUAUAUUUUCCAUUAAGUAAUAGUACUUAUUCAUUAACUACUAGUGUUUAUUUUUUAGGUACUAGAGCUUUUUCUUUGGGUACUAGUGCUUUUUUUUAGUUACUAGUGUUUUUUCUUUAAGUACUAGUGUUUUUUGUAAAGUUGCUAGUACUUCAUUCAUAAGAUACUAGUUCUUAUUAUUAGAUACUAGUACUUAUAUAUUUUCAUUAGGAUAGGAUAGAUACUUUCAUUGUACUUCUGCAUCAUUUGAACUUAUCUUAAAAUGGCUAAUCUUACCCCACUCUCCCCUAGUAUUAGACAUUUAAUGUAAUAUUUUAUUAAUAUUUUUAUAUUUAAUUUUAUUAUUGUAUGCUAAUAAACAACUAAUUAAGAACAUUUAUAUAAAUAAACUUGUGUUGGGGUGGAUUCAGUGUCUGUUGAGGCCCAUCUGAAUGUGCUACGAAGUGAGUUUCAGAAACACAUCCAGACCCCUCGACUGUCAAAGACCACACGUCACAAAUAUUCUCCUGGAGACGCUGAGAACCACGGAAGGAAUGUCUGUGGAGGAUGUACUCAAAAAAUACUCAUACUUCAGGACACCUGCUGGAGGGGACCCUGUUAAACCCUUUGCUACCAUACACCUGAUGGAUACUGACUGUAAAAUGGCAAUCACAGGAGGAGGGUGUGGUGACAGAAGAUGGAAUAGACAUGUGUCAGUGCACCAGCCUUGAUUAAGCCAUCAACAGCCUUCUGUAUGUAUUCUGCUUUCAACAUUGCAUAUCCAACACACCUGAGAAAGACACUGACUUUCCUUCAGAGGGACAUUCUCAACAUUAGAAGAUGGAGACAAGCACUGUCAGUAACUUUACUCGGAAUGAUUAGCCUUUUUAUUAGCUCCUCAUGCCUCAACUCUAUCAUUGCCCAAAGUGCACUCACAAGGACAGUUAAUCCAACAAGUUGUAGUUGUACAUGCACAUGUACCAAAUAUUAGUAUAACCCGUGGUAUAGAUGAGUGCCAGUCAACUUUAUUGGGAUUCCAUUCUUUUAGAAACCAUGCACAGGAAGCAUAUGCACAUUUGGUACUCAGUGAAGAGUCAGUAGUACAGUUGUAUUAUAAUAUAAUGGAGAAAGAUCUGGCUGCAGACUUGCACUCUCAGACUCUUGCGCUUCCACUAGUGACAACACUUGCAGUCUUUUUUUAUUUGAUUUUUAUUCUACUUAUUGGUUACUUUUUGUUUGAUUCUCUCAACAUGAGUUUAUUCUCUUGUGUAGGUAUGGUUGACUGGAAGUCUGUCAGUGCAGAUGUAAGGAAGACGUACAGAGUGGAGUUGGAGCUCAGCAGAUGUAUGAUGCUGUAGAUACUGUGGUCUUUGAAAGAAGGGCGUCUUCACAGCUUUCUAUUCAGACAAAAAGUUUGAUUCUGUUCUAUGGACUGCUACUACAGAAUGAAUGAAUGAAUGAGUGGUAUAUCUAUCUAUCUAUCUAUCUAAUUGGUGAGUAAAACUGAAAGCUAAAUAAAUGUUUUAGUGGAUAAAGCUGUGUCUGUUUGCUUAGUUACUAAAGGUUACUAAAUUCUUCUAACAAAUUUUUACAUUUGAUGAUUUAGUGUUUUUGUCAUAUUUAUUUUUCUCUAUCAGGCAAAACCUAGUUUUCUAGUGUAACACUUUACAAUAAGGUUUCAUUUGCUGACAUUGAUGUAUUAACUAACAUUUAACUAUGAGUAAUACAUUCGAUACAGUAUUUAUUAAACUUUGCUAGUUAAUAAAAAUACAGCUGUUCGUUUGUUCUUGUUAGUUCACUUCACAGUGCAUUAACUAAUGUUAACAAAUACAACUUUUGACUUUAACUUAAGAACAGCUAGUGCGACUAACCGUUUUAAGAGAUGUAUUCUCGAAAAAUACGUGUAAUUUUUUUUAAAUAUAUAAUUAAAAUGUGAUUAUUCAUAAAUCAAGACUAAACUUGUGGAGGUGAUGACGUCAGUAACACGCGCCAUGAAGUUUUGAAGGUACUUUCAAAAGUAAUGUAAAAUAAUAUUUUUAAUAUCAUUAACGCCGUUUUUACCUUGGAAGAAUUACAUUUGAUUUUAUACUAUUAUGUUGAAUUUAUGGCUUCCUUUUAAUCUGCGAUUAAGAGUAUAUGGCUCGCUAUCCUUUUUUUUUUUUUUUUUUUUUUUUAACAGCCAGCUUUCCAUUACCUUUUGGCAUGCCCCCUACCUUUCGUUUCACCAACGAGAAACCUUUUGGCAUACCCCCCACCUUUUGGCACGCCCAUUGCUCCAGGCUGUAUGGAGCUUUUAUUAUGACAAAAUGAUUUGAAUUUGAAUUGUGUAAAUUUGAAUUACUUGCAAUUGUAAUCUAAUAAAAUUGAAUUUUAGGUGGUAGUUUAAUUAGUUAAACGAAUAUUGAACAUUUGAAAUUUAACAAACUGAAAUGUUUUCAUGGCUGAAUUUUAUAGACAUGUAUUUUCAAACAGCUAGUUUUUUUGUUCUGAAUUCUUAUACUGCAAAUAUUCAGUUUAAAAAAAAUCAGAUUCAAGUUUAAGUCCACAGGGAAGAGUAGAUGAUCUCAGAAAAGUUUUCCAGCGCGAACGUGGUGGUGGUUCAAGAGGUUGCCACUCUCUGACUCUGAUCAUGAAUCGCCCGGGGGUAAGUGAUUCUUAAACAUAAAUGAUUUUGUGUUUAUAUGUUAGGUUAGCGUUCUCAGCACUUGAGACAUUUGUCUAAGCGAUCUCUGAUGUUUGUUUUAAAGUUUAUUUAGUGUAAAAUUGAUUAGAACGCCACCGUGUCUACUAGGCCUAAGUUACACAGACAGGACGCGAGCGGCGUGACGCAACCCAGUGCUUGAAGCGACUGUUGCAAAGAUCUGGGACUAGGUCAGAAAUAAGAUGGGUAAUCCGUGUGCUGUCGGGGAUUUCACGGGUCGCGUCGCACCGUUCGCGUCCGGUGUUGUGUAAUAUUCGGUUCCCGUGAAAAACUGUUCCCGUGGGUGGAGUUUACAUGAACAUGCAUUGGUUCCCUGAUCAGUGCACGCUCCUCAAAACGAUACUUGGAUUAUUUUGAACAGACUUGAUGAGAGAGCUGAAGUCACUGGUACAGUAGCUGAUCAUUGUAUGAACUGGACAUACAUGGAGGCUGUUCUCAUCCAGAGACCAUAAAUAUCUCAGACACUCACCUCAUUUUGCAUUGCUUCAUUCCAUGCAUACUUUAACACAACUUUCCUUGUCUUUUUUAUUUGUGUUAAAUUCAUAAAGCAAUUACUUCUGUACUUGUCAUAGUAACAUUUAAUGAAUGUUAUAUUUGUGAUCUACAAUAUUGUUUUUUGAGUAUAAUUAACCGUAAACAUACUUAAAGAUAGCAUGUUGUUUGUUAACCUGCAUGCCAUGUUACUAUUAAUACACAUCAGAGAACUGUCAACAUUAAA